UAGGGAAUCUUCCGCAAUGGACGAAAGUCUGACGGAGCAACGCCGCGUGAGUGAAGAAGGAUUCGGUUCGUAAAACUCUGUUGUUAGGGAAGAAAAAAUGUAUAGUAACUAUAUACAAAAGAGACGGUACCUAACCAGAAAGCCACGGCUAACUACGUGCCAGCAGCCGCGGUAAUACGUAGGUGGCAAGCGUUGUCCGGAAUUAUUGGGCGUAAAGCGCGCGCAGGUGGUUUAGAAAGUCUGAUGUGAAAGCCCACGGCUCAACCGUGGAGGGUCAUUGGAAACUAAUAAACUUGAGUGCAGGAGAGAAAAGUGGAAUUCCUAGUGUAGCGGUGAAAUGCGUAGAGAUUAGGAGGAACACCGGUGGCGAAAGCGGCUUUUUGGCCUGCAACUGACACUGAGGCGCGAAAGCGUGGGGAGCAAACAGG
rnacentral:rRNA from 1 species